CCGCUUUGGCAGCACAUGUACUAAAAUUGGAACGACAGAGAGAAAAUUAGCAUGGCCCCUGCGUAAGGAUGACACGCAAAUUCGUGAGGCGUUCCAUAUUGAA
rnacentral:snRNA from 1 species